rnacentral:snRNA from 1 species
AGCUCUGCACAGUGGCUGUAUCGUAGCUAAUGAGGUUUAUCCAAGGUGCGAUUAUUGCUGAUUGAAAGCUUCCAUGCCGUCAUUAUUUGUGUCUCUUUUCUGAGUCUCAGCCAACUGAAUUACUUUUGGCUAAGUUUAGGAAUGGUUCCCAACA